GACGAACGCUGGCGGCGUGCUUAACACAUGCCAGUCGAACGGAAAGGCUCCAGCUUGCUGGAGUACUCGAGUGGCGAACGGGUGAGUAACACGUGGGUAAUCUGCCCUGCACUCUGGGAUAAGCCUGGGAAACUGGGUCUAAUACUGGAUAUGACCUUUCUCCUUAUGGGGUUUGGUGGAAAGUUUUUCGGUGUAGGAUGAGCCCGCGGCCUAUCAGCUUGUUGGUGGGGUGAUGGCCUACCAAGGCGACGACGGGUAGCCGGCCUGAGAGGGUGAUCGGCCACAUUGGGACUGAGAUACGGCCCAGACUCCUACGGGAGGCAGCAGUGGGGAAUAUUGCACAAUGGGCGGAAGCCUGAUGCAGCGACGCCGCGUGAGGGAUGACGGCCUUCGGGUUGUAAACCUCUUUCAGCAGGGACGAAGCGUAAGUGACGGUACCUGCAGAAGAAGCACCGGCUAACUAUGCG
rnacentral:rRNA from 1 species